GCUGUAGGGUAAUAGCUAUUGUGACUACCACAGGGAGCUUGUGUAAUGCAAGGGGAAGACAGAAACAGAGAUGGAGAAAGGGAUGAAACCAAAUAGGGCUGAACAGUCUUUCUGCUUGUGAGAUGAUUGGGGCUGUAAAAAACAUAGAAGAAGGGAAAAUGCAAGGUUAAAGAGCUGCUCUGCUGCUUCUGCUAACCUGGGCUGAAGGAGUCCUGCAUAUUUUCCAAAGAAGCUCAAUUUCAAACUCUGCCUGUAUUUUGACUACUGCAAAGAGUCUGCUGCUACAUUGGUCAUAUUCUUCCAUUAAUGAUCACCACCAACUGAUGGGAAAAAAAAGAAGCAUAGGGUCUACAGGUACUGUUCAAUACUUUCUGUAGCAACAACAACAAAAAGACAGCUAGUAUAUUCCAGCAAAGCUACUCAUGGGCUAUUUGGGUAAGGGCCAAGUCACUUAGUACUGUCAGUUCAGAUGCACUCUAUGUGGGGCAUGUUUGAGUACACGAAUAUAUAUCCAUGUAGAAUAUGCAAUUAAGCAGUCUUCUAGAGAUGCAGAUUUUCAAUAUAUACAUGAAUUUUGAUCUAUGGGAUGACUUGGAGGCUAAUUGUCUGUCUCUAUGGGAUUUGCUCCCAGGAUGUUACCUGUGACAUCUAAAUCCAUACCAAGUUUAGAAUCACUCCUUAUGCUCUUUGAGUUCUUUGAUCAAGCUUUGCUAAUAAUCUGUAGUAAAUGGGGCAUGGUGCUUUGUUCUGAACUCCACAGUUUGACAUACAACCAAGGUGAUGUAUUCAUCGUAAAUAACUAGCUGUGCCUGUACUCUUAGCUCAGUACAUGUAAAUUAUCUUACCAAGUUAACUUGACCCAGGAUAAAAGAGGUUUACAAGCCCAAUAAUUCAUAUAUAGAAAUAAAGAAUAAUUAGAUUAAGCCUGCACAAGAUGGAAAGGAAAAUAAAAUAAAAAUUGAUAUUUCUGGUAACAAAAAAGAUUAGGAAAAAGAAACAAAGCUGUAUGGUUUGACUUUAAUUUAAAUGUUUCCUCUAGAGGGCUCUUAAGAAAUUUUCUCUAAUAUCUUUGUGUAUUGAAAGACAGAGUAUAUAGCAAACAGAUUUUAGUCUUACAAUACAAUUGUGCAGUUAAAGUCUGAAGCUUUCAUCUUGUUGACUGAAACAUUGCAGUGGCUGGAAAUAAAGAGUUUAGACAGAGAACAUCUCUUUAGUGUCAGACUGAUGGUAGAUUAUGUUUGAAACUCUUUGGAGGGAUGAAUGGAAAGCACAACUGAGCAAUAUUGGCCCCGUAUUCCUCAGGUCUAUUCUUGAGCAUGAAUGGAAGUACUUCUGUCUAUUUCUUACUAGAUUCAUGUAGAGUGAUUUGAAAAUGACUAGAUUUCAUUUAUUUCAAGGAAAAUCUCCAAAAGCAUAGCGUUACUCCCCAAAAAGAAAAGUUGGAAUAAGGUGCUUGAGGAAGGAUUGAGAGGAAAGAGAGAAACAGAAAGCACAUGUAGAAGAGAAGAAAUCCUAAUGAAAUUCAAAAUCUAGCUAUACUAAACCACACUUUGAUUUUAGCUUCCAGCUUCUACACAAACUUUUAUAGUUCUUUAAUUUUGAAAAUUAACCACUGGAAGAGCUAAAAUUUAGCUGCCCUAAAUUUAGGAACCCCAUCCAAUUUUUCAAACUCGUGUAUUGCACAUUAAUCAUAUUCCCAUAUUUGCUUAGUUUUCUCCAGCAUUUCUUGAAUUAUUGUUAGUAAGCUCCAACUUCCACAGAAGCUCAUUACCUCAUUAUUAAGUCUGCUGAUUUGUUGUUUGGUCUCUUCUGCUUUGAUAACAAGCACUGCAGCACCAAUUUCAGCCUCUGAAAAAUAAUUUAAUUAAAUGUAAAUGAGAGAAGAAUAAUAUCUUGGAAUCUCGAAUGGUAAUCUUGUAUAUUGCUUUAAAUUAAAACCUAGUUUGUACUUGGAUCAAAUGAAAAUAAAAUCUUGUAUUUAAAGUUCACUUUAUAAUGUGUAAGAAAAGUGCGAACGAGGAAAGUGAUCUCUUCAAUCUGAAAGGACUGAAAAUGACAGCCCUGGUGCCAAUGGUAUGACAUGUUAAUAGUCUGGAAACUAUAGAUAGAAGUAUGCUACUAUUAUUAGUUUUUUUAUUAUUAGCUUCAAGAGGGACAAAAAAUAUCCUUGUGACCUCCAUGCAAAAGGUAUAUAACUACAUGAAGAGUGUUUACUCAAGUACAUGAAGAACAUUUAUUUACAAAAGGAAAAUGUUGGAAACAAUCGUGGAAUUGCUGGAAACAAUAGUUUUGUCACUUCAGCAUUAGUCCACUGGUGUCCCCAUAGUCCCUCUUUUUUUUUUUUUUUUUUCUUGCUGACCUGUUGCAUUCCUUGUGAUGCUAUAUUGUCAACCUUUUCAGAGUGUAAGUCAUAUAAGGCUGCAUAAAACCCUUUGCUCUUCAAGGUUUCACUGCCUACUUCUGAAACACUAAGUACUUCCAUACCCUUUUGCCUCUGUAAAUAUCCUUUUAACAAAAAUC